AGAGUUUGAUCAUGGCUCAGAGUGAACGCUGGCGGCAGGCCUAAUACAUGCAAGUCGAACGGCAGCACAGCAGAGCUUGCUCUGUGGGUCGGCGAGUGGCGGACGGGUGAGGAAUACGUGGGAAUCUGCCCAGUCGUGGGGGAUAACGUAGGGAAACUUACGCUAAUACCGCAUGCGCCCUUCGGGGGAAAGCCGGGGACCUUCGGGCCUGGCGCGAUUGGAUGAGCCCACGUCGGAUUAGCUAGUUGGCGGGGUAAAGGCCCACCAAGGCGACGAUCCGUAGCUGGUCUGAGAGGAUGAUCAGCCACACUGGAACUGAGACACGGUCCAGACUCCUACGGGAGGCAGCAGUAGGGAAUAUUGGACAAUGGGCGCAAGCCUGAUCCAGCCAUGCCGCGUGAGUGAAGAAGGCCCUCGGGUUGUAAAGCUCUUUUGUCCGGAAAGAAAAGCGCCGGGUUAAUACCCUGGUGUCCUGACGGUACCGGAAGAAUAAGCACCGGCUAACUUCGUG
rnacentral:rRNA from 1 species